AGUGGCACCACUGAGCUAAAUCCCCAGAUCAAUAUUUUAAUAUUGAUCUAGAAUAUCUAGUACAGUUAGAUAGCAAGCCCAAACAGACAUAGAACUUCUGGAAAGGGGGAAGAAAAAUUAAAGUUUGAAGACAGAACUUCCUGUUAUGUCAUAAAGUUAUUCAUUUAUCCCCUUCCUUAUUUUAUCUCUGGCUGCUAAAAUACUGACAUCCAACACAUAAGAAGCUCAAUAAAUACUUGUUGAAGGAAGGAAGGCUUGAUGGAAUAAAGGAUGGACACAGAGUCUCAUGGGAAGCCAGCUCUUCACAGAGACAUCCUGAGACCACAGCUGUCAGUCAAACAACUCAGUUCACCUACACACACUCCAAUUUGCAGCUGUGGCCACCCCAGACCCCUGCUCCACUAUGCACUUGGGCCAAUCAACAGGACUGAACUUGAAC
rnacentral:lncRNA from 1 species